rnacentral:misc_RNA from 1 species
GAUGAAGAACGUAGCGAAAUGCGAUACUUGGUGUGGAUUGCAGAAUCCCGUGAACCAUCGAGUCCUUGAGCGCAAGUUGCGCCCGAAGCCAUUAGGCCGAGGGCACGCCUGCCUGGGUGUCACACACCGUUACCCUCGCGCCAACGUUCAUCGUUGGCCGCGGCGCGGGGCGUGCGCUGACCUCCCGCGAGCGGGGUCUCGUGGUUGGUUGAAAAUCGAGUUCGCGGUCGAGGGUGCCGUGAUGAAAUGGUGGAUGGGCGACGCCCGAGACCAAUCACGCGCGACUCUGUCCGGCUCGGACUCCUGGACCCCUUCGGCGUCUCCGGACGCUCUUUGGCGAGACCUCAGGUCAGGCGGGGCUACCCGCUGAGUUUAAGCAUAUCCAAUAAGCGGAGGA